rnacentral:rRNA from 1 species
UACAGAGGUGGCAAGCGUUGUUCGGAAUUACUGGGCGUAAAGGGCGCGUAGGCGGCCUUCUAAGUCAGACGUGAAAUCCCCCGGCUUAACCUGGGAACUGCGUCUGAUACUGGAAGGCUUGAGUGCGGGAGAGGGAUGUGGAAUUCCAGGUGUAGCGGUGAAAUGCGUAGAUAUCGGGAGGAACACCCGUAGCGAAGGCGGCACUCUGGGCCGGAACUGACGCUGAGGAGCGAAAGCGUGGGGAGCAAACAGG